UACGUAGGUGGCAAGCGUUGUCCGGAUUUACUGGGCGUAAAGGGCGUGCAGGCGGUCUGUUAAGUGCAGGGUGAAAGCUCCCGGCUCAACUGGGAGAGGUCCUUGCAUACUGGCGGACUUGAGGGGGGUAGAGGAAAGUGGAAUUCCCGGUGUAGCGGUGAAAUGCGCAGAUAUCAGGAAGAACACCCGUGGCUAAGGCGGCUCUCUAGUACGGUACUGACGCUGAGACGCGAAAGCGUGGGGAGCGAACAGG
rnacentral:rRNA from 1 species